rnacentral:rRNA from 1 species
UACGAAGGGGGCUAGCGUUGCUCGGAAUCACUGGGCGUAAAGCGCACGUAGGCGGAUUGCUAAGUCAGGGGUGAAAUCCUGGAGCUCAACUCCAGAACUGCCUUUGAUACUGGGGAUCUCGAGUCCGGGAGAGGUGAGUGGAACUCCGAGUGUAGAGGUGAAAUUCGUAGAUAUUCGGAAGAACACCGGUGGCGAAGGCGGGUCUCUGGGCCGAUACUGACGCUGAGGAGCGAAAGCGUGGGGAGCAAACAGG